ensembl:misc_RNA Metazoa_SRP Metazoan signal recognition particle RNA
GCCUGGUGUGGUGGCAUGUGCCUGUAAUCCAAGUCACUGGGAGGCUGAGGUUGGUGGAUCAAGUGAGCUGAGGAGCUCUGGGCUGCAGCACACUAUGUCGAACGGGUGUCCACGCUAAGUUCGGUAUCGAUAUGGUGUUCCUGGGGGAGCCCGGGACCACCAGGUUGUCUAAGGAGGGGUGAACCGGCCCAGGUCGGAAACGAAGCAGGUCAAAUCCCCCGUGCUGUCCAGUAGUGGGAUAAUACCUGUGAGUAGAUGCUGCAGUGCAGCCUUGGCAAAACUUCGAGACCUAAUCUUUG